UUAACUGAAACCAAACAAGAGGUAAAUCACUGUUAAUGAUUCCAUUGAAGAAAAUUCCGGUUAAC
rnacentral:tRNA from 1 species